AACGAACGCUGGCGGCAUGCCUAACACAUGCAAGUCGAACGAGACCUUCGGGUCUAGUGGCGCACGGGUGCGUAACGCGUGGGAACCUGCCCUUAGGUUCGGAAUAACUCCCCGAAAGGGGUGCUAAUACCGGAUAAUGUCUUCGGACCAAGGAUUUAUCGCCUUUGGAUGGGCCCGCGUUGGAUUAGCUAGUUGGUAGGGUAAAAGCCUACCAAGGCGACGAUCCAUAGCUGGUCUGAGAGGAUGAUCAGCCACACUGGGACUGAGACACGGCCCAGACUCCUACGGGAGGCAGCAGUGGGGAAUAUUGGACAAUGGGGGAAAGCCUGAUCCAGCAAUGCCGCGUGAGUGAUGAAGGCCUUAGGGUUGUAAAGCUCUUUUACCCGGGAUGAUAAUGACAGUACCGGGAGAAUAAGCUCCGGCUAACUCCGUG
rnacentral:rRNA from 1 species